rnacentral:sRNA from 1 species
GCUGGGUGUGGUGGUGUACACCUGUAAUCCCAGCUACAUGGGAGGCUGAAACAGGAGGAUCAACAGUUCAAGAUCAGCCUGGGAAACUUAGCAAGCCCCUGUCUCAA